CACCAUGGCAACCAUUGGAUGAAGACCUCGUCUCCAGAGGACUCCUGUUAACACCAGACGUAUAAUGGGAGUGACACAGUGAUCUGCUGGCACUCUUGAAGACAUCAGCUUGGUCAAGAAUGUUGGCAGAGGCGCCUCAAGAAACACCUGCCUUCCACUCAUGAGCUGAAAUGUCAUUGCUGAAAGCGAGGCAGAUGAGUGGAAGUGGAAAGACCUGGGGCUGUGGGCGUCCUCGUGACCAGCCUGGCAAGGCCCACGCCUGCCCCAUGGAGACUCUGGGGCAGCCUUUGCAGAAGCAAACACUAUCAUCAGGUUUGCAUGAGUUCUGCUCCCUUGUUUUCUCUGCCUCUCGACUACCCACUUUAUUUCAGCCCUGCGGUGAAUUAUAUGUUUGGAGCAGAAGUAGGGGAGAACUCAGCCCCUUAGGAGUCAUGAGACUGUAAGAGGAUGCAUACUGCAGGGUACUUUUUCAGCUGAGAAACAGAAAACAUGGUCUGCUUUUUAAAUCUUACAAACAUACAGGUAAAGUCAACACGUACUUGUUGAUGUGGGGCUUUUGUAACCCAGCAACGUGUAGCAGCAAUCUGCCAGGAUACGCUGAAGCCCCAAUCCUGGGGAGCCACGCGCCAGCCAAGCGAAGAGCGGCUCCCUCUCCACGUCUCGACGUUAAUUCCUCCUUGGUGACACCUGCUUGGUAGAGUAAGGAAAAGGCCUGGAUUUUGCUAAUUUUAUUGUUUCUUAGUUACUAAACAGAAUGAGAUGUAGUCUCUGAAUAAGGGCCUGCCCCGGCUUUGCAGGAACUACAUGUGAAACCCAGGGCCCUGUGCUAAAAAAUGUCCAGCUUGUUUCUCAUCAAGUCACCUUACCUAUCUCAGCACCUGCACAGGCAACGGGACUGCCUGGACAUGCCCACCACUGUUAGGUCAGGUGUCCCUGAAAAGCUCCAUCAAAACACUUUGAAAGAGUGAACACAGCUUCCAAAACUCACACGCCGUUAUGAGCCAUGAGAGAAACUGCUUCCGUUUGACUAACGAGCAACGGCCCGUGCUCUUUUUGUUCCCAUUGCCAACAUUUGCCCCACCUGAGGGACUAGAAAAAGCUGCUCUUCCAUGGAAGGGAAGGAGGUAGUCCCAGGAAACCUAUCCCUGAGGCCCAUGAGGCUGAUGGGACCACGCUGUGCCCCGGACUGGACAAGAGGUGUCCAGGGCUCUGGGCAUGGCCAGGCGUUCAGGCAAUUGCAUCUUUGGCCCAGGGAAGGCCCUUCGUCUCAUUCCCCAGAGGUACUUCUCCUCACCUAGAAAGCAAGGUGGCAUGACCAGCACUGAUACGCCUCCCAGUGUUGGAAGGACAAGGUAAGAUCAAGUCUGUGCAAAGAGUUCUGAAAACAACCAAAAGGUUCUCCACAGAAUCCAAGAUGUUCAUAUGGUCAGGCACCUGGGCCUCCUCCAAGAAAGCAGCCUAGCCAUCUGGGCCUCCCCAUGUGCCCAGUGCAGGUUAUAGAGCCCUAAACAGUUUACACACCUCAAAUAUUCAGUCAAUAUCACUGUGAUAAGCUCAGGGAAGAGCAUCUUCCUUUAUUCUCUCCCAAAGGAGAUGUGUAAGAAAUAAUGAUAUAAGAUUAUUAUAGUCACAAGCUUCCUCAAAUUAACAGUUUAGCCAACAUUUAUUAAGAAGUGACAAGAUGUAAGACCAUGCGGAGGAAUCCAGGAUAAAGGUGGCUUUCACUAUAUUUAUUUGUUCAUUCUUCCCUUUAUUCAGUCAAUAAGCAUCUAUUUAGUACCUACUGUCAAGUGCUAUGCCAAGUUCUGGGGUUUUGCAUACUAUGAUAUAAAAAUACAUGCACAUGCUAAAUGGUUUGAUGGGUGAACAAAGUACCAAGGGAGUGUAGGGAAGGGAAAGUUAAUCCCGACUUAGGAAAUCAGAGAAAGCUUCUUGGGGGAGACACACUUGAGCUGUCUUAACUGAUGGCUGAACUUUUAGCACUUAAAGAUGGAGAAAAGUUGCUCAGAGGGAGAUGUGAAUACCAGCAAUGAGUCAGGAGGAUCCCUGGUGGCUCCACGGAGGCUGAGUGCCUGUCUUCGUGUAGUAGGAGCAAAGACAAGAGCUGGUCCCUGCUCAGAGUUGUCGGUCGGCCCCAGUUCCUCAUCCUCUAGCCCCAUGACUGGACUCUCCAUCUUUCCCAAGAUUCAGCUUUGCCUCAGUUCCCACCACAAGCAAGAGGUGAAGAAGGGAAUUCUUAACCCCAAUCAUUACCCCUGCCCUCAGCUCAUCAUACCCCUGCCAUCAUCUGGGGGACCUGGGACACAGUGCCCCUCUCUCUGGGGCCUCACUGUGGGCUCCGAUCUGAUUUUGCAUCAAUACCAACCUAGGACACUGAGGAGCCCCUUGGCUCCCUGGGCUCCCUCAGCUCAUCGCCCAGCUCUCUCCUCGCUCCUGCCCUGGGCCUGCCUGGGCCCACUUCCCUCCUCCCUCUCCCUGUCCCUUUGGGUGUGUCACAGUGGAACAGGUGUAAGACCACUCAUGCCUCUCCUUAGAGCUGAAUCCUGGGCAGUAUCCUGUUAAUGAGUAUCAGUUUCUUUCCUGCCUUUUGCCAAAUGCCCCCACAAGGGGCAGGUAGGGGAAAAGCCCUCUGCUCACCACAGUGCCAUGCUGAAUUCCUGAUCCCGGACUGCAGAACACCUUAAAUACAAUACUAAGGAGCCAUUGAAGGGAUCUGGGCUGGGCAGCUGUACUUUCUGAAGGUGACUUUGCAGUCCAGGGCAGAUGGAUCUGGAUCGAGGAAGGAGAGGGCUGGCAGCGGUGAAGUCUGGAGGCCACUGCAUUGUCCAAGGGAGACACAGUGAAGAUCUGAACUCUGGGAAAGCCAAAUAGAAUGGAAAGAAAUGAAGACAUGUGAAAGCAGCAGCCAGGGAGACUCACUAGGAAUUGCCCAUGGCCUGCGAUUGGCAGGUUAGGGUGAGGCAAGAGUUACAGAUCAUGCUGAGGUUUUGAGGCUGGGUGACUGCAAGGAUGUCUGUGCUGUUGAUUGAGUAAAGAAAGACAGAGAAGGAGGAAUUCUUGAGUGUGAGUUGGAGGAGGUUGCUGAGGAGGCAGGCAGGUUUACCUGGGGAUCAGCAGAGUUAGAGCAAUUCUCUGCUACAGCUAUAGAAGAAGGCCAGCCUGGGCCCUCAGUUCACAGCACGAGCACACGUCAAGGCACAGGCUGGGGAGGGAGGAAUGGGGGAGGCCAGAGUCGCAGGUCUUCGGAAGUGGCAAUGGAAUGUCCUGUCGCUGGCCCAGCAGGCCCUUCCCUCUGCCCACCACCCAUGGGAGAAACUCACAAGAAAGUCCCGGUGUCAGUAAAGGGUGCUCCAACGGGCUGUGUUCUCAGACUAAAGUCAUCACAGAUACUUGUCCUGUGUGUAGGCAAAUUCAGCACUCUGGGAUUUUCCUCUGUACUCCAGUGUGAAACUACAACUUUAGAGAAUGAAAUCUCUUUCAGGGAGACUCUUUGGAAAAAUAAUGAAUUAUCACAUGGGUUUUUCCACAUGGCAUGAAGACCAAAACUCAUCAGCAAAUCCUAAAGGGAGACAGGUUAGAGGCAGAUAAAAUACUGAGUUUGGCCAAAAGUGGAUUAGACAUGAUAGGAGUUCCUAUUUCUUUCCAGUGGCUUGUUAUUACCCACAGCAUUUGUCUCCACCCACCUCAGAUAACAAUGUGGAUCAUCUUAACUUCCUGCUCCCUGGUGUGAGUAGAUUGCCUGAGGGAGAUCGAAGGAGCGCGCUUGCUUUUCUGUCUUAAACACAGACAGACAGGGAAAGGCUCAGGGCAGAACCGAAGUUAGAGGAGGCGGAACUUUCUCCCCACUCCUCUGGAAACAGCUGCUCCUGCCUGGCCCUCAGGACUGCUCGCUUUCAUCAGUUGCCAGCCCCUGGGCAGUCUGCCCUAUGGCCCCAGUUUCCUUGGUGUGGCCUCUGUCCUCCUUGUGUUCCCACCAUGGUCCAUACCCGUUGUACUAGUCAGCUAGGGCUGCCGGAACAAAGCACCACAGACUGGGUGGCUUAGACAGCAAAAAUCGAUUGUCUCACAAUUCUGGAGGACAGAAGUCCCAGACCAAGGUGUCAACAGUUUGGCUUCUCCUGGGGGCUGUGAGGGAAGGAGCUGUCCUGGCCUCUCUCCCAGCUUCUGGUGGUUUGCUGGCAAUCUUUGGUGCUCCUUGGCUUAUGGAAGCAUCACUCCAACCUCUGCUUCAUAUUCACAUGGGGUUCUCCCUACGUGCAUGCCUGUGUUCAAUUUUCUCCUUUUUGGAAGGACACCAGUCACUUUGGAUUGGGGGCCCAUUCCACUCCAGUAUGAUCUCAUCUUAACAAAUUAGAUCUACAAUGACCCUAUUUCCAAUUAAGGUCACAUUCUGAGGUACUGCAGGUUAGGACUGGAACAUAUGAAUUUGGGGGGGGACACAAUUCAACCCAUAACAUCCUUCCUCCCUUUCUUUCCAAACCUUUUCACUAAGCCCUCAUUCCCAGCAGGAAAAAACGGCUGCUCGCAGCCACAGUGCUCCCCUCCCAGGAUUUGCACCAUAAAGGAGGAUCAGAACCUUCUGCUACUAGAGGAAGCUUUCAGUUGCAAACUUGGGCACCUGUUGGGCUUAUGUGAGCUUCGAGGCAUGCACCAGGUCGCUGCAUACUGUCCUUGUGGGCCCACUGUGCUCAGACCCAACAUUCCUCCCUGCUCUGGAGCCUGUAGAGCAGCAGCCCAUGACAGUAAAUGGUUUUUGUGUUCAGGAUGCUUUUCCCUGAGAGAAUUGUCAUCAGUCCUGGUUCAGAUGUUUGCUUGUCUGUGAUGAAGAUCAAAGAUGCCCCAGAGAGAAGCCCAAGGCGUCCUGGCCUAUGUACCGAUCUAUAUCAUCCUCCAGGAAGUAUAGGACGUCCUGACCUGAUCCGACCUGAUUCGUAUCCAAAGUUAUAGGACCACCGGAUAACCAGACCCGACCUGCACUGAUACCAUUUUAAUGACUUUUUUUCAUGAUCUUUCCUUUGUCUUGUAAAGAGAUAACUCACACACCUAUGCCUUAAAUUUAGCCCUACCCUCAAGCCAUUGCAGCUCUUCACUGCCCAUGGGUCCUGUCCCUAUUGUGGGGACUGGAAUUGGCAGCCCCAACAUAUGUCUCUUUGGCAUGAGGAUUAUUUUGAGCUAGUUACUUUUAAAAACAGCAGACAGAAAAAAAACUCUGAAAAGUAGAAUUUACUUACCCUUUGUUAAGAGACAUUUACAUUUGUAAAGGAAAUCUCCGUCUGUAAAGGUGUCUCCCUCUCUGUACCAGGAAGAAGGGGGGAUGACCUUAUCUCUAGAAACUCUCAUCAGUGUAGAAGGCAAGGACUCAAGUCUGCAUGACAACCUUACUCUUGUUUACUGUGAUUUUUUGGUAACCUCCCAUGAUUGAUUCCCCCCACCUCCAGCACCCUCCUUUGUCUUUACCAUAGGGUGGUAUUUAAGGUGGUGGCUUCCACCAUUUUGGUGAGUUGCUCAGUUUGCCUGAGCCUUUCCCAUAUAUACAUGUUAUAAAGCUUUGUUUAAUUUUCUCCUGUUAUUCUGUCUCACGUGAAUUUAAUUUGUUGUCUGGCCAGAAGGACCCAGAGUGGGUAAAGGAAAUGUCUUCCUCCCCUACACCGUGUUGCAGCUCUUCACUGCCUAUGGGUCCUGUCCCCAUGCUAGUCUCUGAAUAAAGGAGCACUACUACCAGAACUUGAGAGUCCAAGAAAUCUUUCUUUUGACUCUUCAGCUUGCCAAGUCCACAUCAGUCUAU
rnacentral:lncRNA from 1 species